rnacentral:rRNA from 1 species
AUUGAACGCUGGCGGCAGGCCUAACACAUGCCAGUCGAGCGGAUGAAGGGAGCUUGCUCCUGGAUUCAGCGGCGGACGGGUGAGUAAUGCCUAGGAAUCUGCCUGGUAGUGGGGGAUAACGUCCGGAAACGGGCGCUAAUACCGCAUACGUCCUGAGGGAGAAAGUGGGGGAUCUUCGGACCUCACGCUAUCAGAUGAGCCUAGGUCGGAUUAGCUAGUUGGUGGGGUAAAGGCCUACCAAGGCGACGAUCCGUAACUGGUCUGAGAGGAUGAUCAGUCACACUGGAACUGAGACACGGUCCAGACUCCUAAGGGAGGCAGCAGUGGGGAAUAUUGGACAAUGGGCGAAAGCCUGAUCCAGCCAUGCCGCGUGUGUGAAGAAGGUCUUCGGAUUGUAAAGCACUUUAAGUUGGGAGGAAGGGCAGUAAGUUAAUACCUUGCUGUUUUGACGUUACCAACAGAAUAAGCACCGGCUAACUUCGUG